UAAAGAAAAGGCGUCUCAUGGAUAUCUCACCAUGUGACCAGGGAGAAGAUUAUGAUGCAGAUUCAAGUGGUGGAUCAAACAUGCUUUUGCCACCAAGGAGCAGUUCUGGUGACAACAGUUCCCUGUUCAGGGCACUACCAACUCUCUUCCCAUCAUGAGCUGCACCACCCAAGAAGAUGGGACAUGCCAGUGAAGCACUGAUUCUUGUCCUUCAGAUCCAGCAUCAGCCCUGUUCUGCUCUUUGAAGGGUCCCACUGUCUUAUUGCAGUUGGACCCACUCCCAUCACCACAUUUGCCACAGAUGACCUUGGAGAAGCAGAGACAGACACAGAGACUGCCAAGACAGCAACUGGGGUGAAGUGUCAUGGCGUUUGGGCUCCGACUAGUCACCUCGAGAGGAUGGAUCCCAUAAACACAGCAAUAACCAUGAAGGGGUUGGCGAAAAUCCAGGAAUCAACCAGAAGAGGGGGACCCAGAAAAGAAGCACAGACCACUAGAGAUUCACCAGUGUAAGGGGUAUCUCACCGGUGUCAGUGGGUUCAGUGGUGAGGGAGGAGUGCUGAUUGAGCUCAGCUCGCACUCUCAUUCUCUCCAGCCACUGACCAACUUUAGGCUCACUGAUACUUUUGUGUGUGACCAACCUCAAGCAUGAAGUGUUCUCAAGUGGGAGCUGGCGUCUUACUACUCGACCACCUCGAACACCUGAGGUUGUUGUCUCAUUCCCUGAGCCAGAGGACGGCUACAGAGGGUCAGAGCGAGGGCAGUGGACCUGGGAACAGUGACCCGGGCCCAUGAUGCCAUUGUUGAACAUGGAAGCAGCCGAGCAGGCCGAGGAGUGACGCAACGCAACGUAUGGUGGCCUCUUGUGGUCAAGAGGUCAAGAGAGGGAGUGUGGAGAUCAGGGAAAUAUUUUACUGCUAAUAUUCAUAAUCAUCAUCAUUACCAUUGCAUUAAUUAUCAUUUCAUCAAAGCAUUUAUUGAAGCUGUUGGCCUUAAGUUAAAACUUGUAUUACAGGUGCAGCUAUAAUCAUUUUCUACACACCUUGCAUUUGUGCUUAUUUAAAGAGUUGAAGCUCAGUCAGUUAAUUGAGGGUCGUAAGCUUUGUUUGGCGCUAUGUCCAGACAAUCUAUUGUGUACGUGACUUUGAGCUAUGAAAAGAUGGCCUACACGCUUACAAAGCACAUAUACCACGUUAUACAUUAUUAUCUUUUAUUUGUUUAUAUCCUUUUUAUUAAGCUUUCGGUAGUGGCAUUUGAUUAGAACAUUUAUUCAACAUAUUACAUAUAUAGUUUCAGUUAGGUUAUUGCACACAUGAGAGUUUGCCUCUGUCCUCACAGACAGAGUGCAUUUUGAGGUCGAGACACACACACACACACAUAAACAGUAGUUAGACUCAUGUUUAUGUAACAGUUCAAAUAAUAGUUUGCAAAAGCUUGUGACUGCAAAAUUAUGUCUGCAUGAGGGACAGUUUGUUCUAGGGGAUAAGCGAGAGUUAGAAGAUUAACAGGAGGCACCUGGCCUCGAGAUGGAGAAGAGGUCCUUUCUAAAUGUGUCAAAAGUCGUCAACAGAACACGUGUGGUUUUGAAACUUAUGUGUGUAUUGUAUCUGCUUGACGCAUGAGGGGGCGUCUAACCCUGAUGUUAUAAAAACAACUGCUUGUGUAGUCUUGGGCGGAGAUCGAUGCUGACUGUGUGCAGUGUUCAUCUCCCCACGCGUGUGUUCAUUAAAAAUCAUUGUUUGACCGACUCUUCUGGACCAUUGUUGUUUUUGUACCCAUCCUCAAUAUCUGA